ensembl:lncRNA
GUGAGUUGGCUCGUCCGGAGAGUGCGUGUGCGCGCGCGGCCAAGUUUCGGGGGGGCCGGGCGCGCGCGGGGGGCGCGCGCGGGGACAUCGCUGCGGGGCGGCUCGGGCCGUGAGCUCCGCUGGGGCCCCAGCGCGUCAGGCCGCGGCCGACUGGGCCCCGCGCCCCCGCCCCGGGCCGCGCCGCGCCGCGCCCCCCGGCCCGGCCGCCCGACGUCGGGCCCCGGCUGCCUCCCGCGGCCGCCCCGCCGCCCGGCCCCUCUUUUGUUCCCCAUCCCGGGUUUCAGGCCGAGUUCGGGGAGGCGGUGUGGGCGAAAGGCGCCUCCAAGGACGCUUCUCGAAUCCUUAAAUGGGAAAGGCGCUCGCCUCACUCGCCCGGGAGCGGCGAGCUUGGUAUUCGUGAUCAGUCUGUGUACGCUGCUUCUGCUGCUGCUGCUGCUGCAAAAAAAAAAGACCGAAAAAGUCUGUUUCGUGGGGCGGGAGAGGCGGGAGGAGUUGCAAGGCCCCCCCGAACUCGGCCGCGCGGAGGUGCCAGGCUCUCGGAGGUUCACCUGUUGUCCUGCGCUGCCAUGUCUGGUGAUUGUGCACUUCAGCGCCUGCAAACUUUCUGCUGGAUGGAGUGUCACCCAUUUUUCGUCUUUCCAGACUCCUAGUGGGGAGGUUUGGCAGGGAGAGGAGAUCGCUUGCGUCAGGGGAGGAAAAAUGUGCUCUGUGUUAGGGUCUGGCGUCUUGUGCCUUGUGCUGCUCGGUGCUCUCGGCGGUUUGAAUUUGGGCAAAGAGCUGCGGGUUCUCUGUUUUUGGACGGUUAGCAGCCUGCUCGGAGCGCACAGUGCGGACUUGGCACGUUCACCUGUGUUACGUCAUGUGAUCCUGAUGAGAACCCUGGUCGUUGCAUGCCUCGUUGUUUAGACGAGGAAACCGAGACGUGAAGAGGGUUCAAUAACUUGCUCGGCGAGCUAGGGUUUGAAUCAGGAUUUUCCCUACUGUUCAGGAGCUGUUAAACUGAGGCAUUCGAUGAGUUUGUUUAAAAAAAAAAAGCAACAAAAACUCUUUUAUGCACUUUUACGUUGAACAUCACUUUUCGGGCACCCCUAACUUGAAAUGAUCGCUAUUUUGUUGCUUGAGUUGCAAACAACUCGUUGAUUGUAUUUACUCGUAAGAGGUGUUCAAGUCUGAAUUAAAGUAGAAUGUAACUUAAUGCUUAUCACUGUGUUCAGCGGUUGGAGUAAAGUUUGUGAACCAGAAUUAUUGAAGUAUUUAAACUUAAAGCUAAAAUACAGGUGGUUCUGAGCUGGGUGUGGGUUUACACGAGGCUAAUUGAAAUUUAGAAUGCAUUUUUACAGAACCGGUGUCCUGCUUCUGUUUUGUUUUUUUCCUCCUGCACAUUCUCCGUGGAGUUCAUUGCAGACUUUUUCGACUUCCUUCACUUCUCCACACCCUUUGAUGAAAAGACUGAGGCUUCCAGACUCGUGGAUUUUUUGUCAUCUGCUGCUUUUUUUCCAUCUCGCCCCCAGUGCAUGGUUGUAUUUCCUAGUUGUAAGUCCUUCUAGUCCUUCUGUGUGAGCCACCAGCACAGCAUGGCACCUGACAGAUGGGUGGUGCGGUUCUGUGACCAGGAAACCAACUCAGGCCACCAAGGCGGGUGAGCGCCAAACUUUAACCACCAGGCCAUCAGGGCCAGCCCCAGGCUAUUCGUUCCUAAAAAAUCAAAACAAAGCGAUGUGCUCAGAGAUCCGCAGUCGUGUUUUUUGAAGAGAACGCUGGUUAGAGUAGAGGCUUAAGGAGACGAGGUGAUCAGUGGGAUCCGUCUCUUGGUAGGCUCAGUGGGUCCCUAAACCAGGUUCAUCUGGGCACUUCAGUGUAGAACUAAUGAAUAGACAUUGGAUAGAUACAGAAAUUAUUCUUGGGUAUCUGUUAUUAAAAACAGGUGAAUCUGAGCUAUUCUGAUACUGAGGACAUUGCUACUCUUUUCUGUUUCUGACGAACCUCGUUUUCUGAGGGCAUACAGUUGUUACACCACUGCUAGCAUCUGGAGCAGUGAAGCUUGGCUGUUGCUCCAGCUGUGUGUAGUUGCCUGUGGACUUAAGGAGGAGGAUGGGGUAUGCCAAGUGUAGGGAUAAAAUAAUCACCUUUGCAGUGUAGGGAGAUUAGUUACAUGGGGGAGAAUCAGUUUGAAGAAAGGAAGACUGAGGACCCUGAGGCUUGUCGGGAGGCUGUUCCAUCCUGGCCCAGACUGGAUGGUGGCAGGUCAUGAGGGCCUGGAAUGGACAGGACUUGGUAACUGGCUGUGAUGGGAGAAGGAAUGGGAUUGGCAAGAGUGACUCCCGGGUUUCUAGCGUGGACAUCUGGUAGGGUGUGUUGUUGAGUGAGAUGAACAGCAUGGAUGGAGAGCUGGUGUGUGGAGGAGGAUAGUUCAGUUUUGAUCAUACGGAGUUCAAGCUGUCUCUGAAACGACCAAGGAGAGAUCUGCACUUGGCAGGUGCCUGUGUGGGGCUGGAGUCCGACAGAGGUUUGCCUAGAGGUGGACAUUUGGGAGUGAUGACCGUGUAGCUGUGGGAAUUGGGUGGCUCUCUCAAGUGACUUCUGCUUGCAAGUGACAAACCCAACUCACAUUAGCUUAAAGGGGAAAAAGGCUUUUUCUCCCCUCUCACGUUUUUGAGAAGAGUGGAAAUAGGUGUUGCUGGCCCUAAGUGUUCACACGAUGUCAUCGGGGGCCUGUCUUCUCUGCUCUCUGCUUUUUGGCCUCAUUUUCAGGCAGGUACUUUCAUCUGGCAGAGGAGGACCAUUGGCACCUCCAGGCUCUCAUGGGCCUUACUUCUCUGGAUUCAAGAGGGGAAAUGGGCACCUUUUCCCCAGGUGCAUAGAUUCUGUCCCAUGGAGGAAUUCUUACUGGGUCUACAUGGAGUCUGGGCGACGUGCCAUCAUUGGCCAGGCCUGGCUUACGUGCCCACUGGAGCAGUCAGGGAGCCGGUUAAACACUGGGACUGAUGGUCUUCCCGGAACCAUAUGAGAUGGGGAAGUGGUUGUUUCCCCAAAGAGGAUGGAUCUGGUCAGGUGAACAACAUAAAUCCAUUAACUUUUGGUUUUUAUCCAUUUUUAAGGUCAUUUUUUGCGUAUCUGAAGAAAAAUACACAAAUAUAACAAUCUUGUGUGUAAUUUCAUGGUUAUGUUAGGGCCCUCAUAUCAGGAACUCCUGGUAUAUACAGCAAAGAGCCUAGACCAGCCCCAGGAAACACUAGUUUAAGACCUAGAUAGAGAAAUAGAUAUUAAGUAAUUUCACAAAUAAUUAUCUGAUUGUAGUUAUGUUAAGAUCUACAAAAGGGAAGUACAGGGAGCUUAUAAGAGUGUGUAAUAAGGGAACCUGGUCUGUUUAGGGUGUGGGUGCUUUGGAAGGCUUUCCUGAGAAAGUGGCCUGUAGAAUGAGAUCUUAGACCAGGAAGGAGAGGGAGAAUAUUUUUGGAGUUGUUCAGUAGUUUUUAAAGCAAACGCUUUUUCCUUCUUUUUAAAAAAUUAUAAAAGUAAUAUAUCUGUUGUGGAUAAUCUGGGAAAUAUGAAAAAUUAUAAAGCAGCAGAAGAACACAAGUUUUGGCUUCUAAUUUUUUAUAAUUUCCUUUUUUUUUAACUUGAGGUAACGUUGG